rnacentral:rRNA from 1 species
GAGUAAUGUCUGGGAAACUGCCUGAUGGAGGGGGAUAACUACUGGAAACGGUGGCUAAUACCGCAUAACGUCGCAAGACCAAAGAGGGGGACCUUCGGGCCUCUUGCCAUCAGAUGUGCCCAGAUGGGAUUAGCUUGUUGGUGAGGUAACGGCUCACCAAGGCGACGAUCCCUAGCUGGUCUGAGAGGAUGACCAGCCACACUGGAACUGAGACACGGUCCAGACUCCUACGGGAGGCAGCAGUGGGGAAUAUUGCACAAUGGGCGCAAGCCUGAUGCAGCCAUGCCGCGUGUAUGAAGAAGGCCUUCGGGUUGUAAAGUACUUUCAGCGGGGAGGAAGGUGUUGUGGUUAAUAACCGCAGCAAUUGACGUUACCCGCAGAAGAAGCACCGGCUAACUCCGUGCCAGCAGCCGCGGUAAUACGGAGGGUGCAAGCGUUAAUCGGAAUUACUGGGCGUAAAGCGCACGCAGGCGGUCUGUCAAGUCGGAUGUGAAAUCCCCGGGCUCAACCUGGGAACUGCAUUCGAAACUGGCAGGCUUGAGUCUUGUAGAGGGGGGUAGAAUUCCAGGUGUAGCGGUGAAAUGCGUAGAGAUCUGGAGGAAUACCGGUGGCGAAGGCGGCCCCCUGGACAAAGACUGACGCU